GGGAUUGUGACAGAGAAAAAAAAAAUGAGAAUGAGGCUAUGUGUUAGAAAGAGAGAAGUUGACGUGAUACCAACUACCAAGAAGCAAGAUUUGAAACCUGGAGUUUAUGGUGCAGAUUCUACCUUCAUUGUUCAAUGGUGUGAAAAAAGAAAAAAAAAAAGACAGAAAAUUCAAAGAAAAAAAAACAAUUGAGAAUCACAAACCAUAGAGCCAUAUCUUGAAGAUUUCUUGGAGUGUUGUUUGGAGUAUAAGGAGGUUAGAUUGAAGCCAAGGUCCAACACAAUGAAAUUUGGCCUUCCUUGUUCGUUCUUUUGAGAAGUAAAAGUGUAACAACUAUGAGGAUUUGGCGAUCUUGAGCAUCGACUUAUUUUUGCUCUAUUGAUUUCUUAGAACCUUUGAAUUCCUUUAUCUUUCGUUUCUUUUAGCCAAAACCCUUAGCCCCAUUACAACCAGAACAAAGACCUUUAUGAUCCUAGGAAAAGUGUGAGGAAAUUUGUGGAGAUGAGUCAAAGAGGUAUGAGGAGCAAGGAUGAGAAAAAGAAGCAAAAAGAGAGGAAAAGGAUUGAGGGUGGUUUGCAAUCCUAACAACUGAAGCAGCCUCUGCAGAAUGGCUAACUUUGAGGAUUAAACUGUACUGAUCCAGAGAUAACCAGAAGACGAGCCUUAUAUGCACGGAAAGCCCUGAAUGUCUAGUUUCUGGAGAAUUUUACGUUUCGUGAUUUCGAUAUUCCUAGAGAGAGAUAUGGCCGUUUAAGUACAGGCAGUUCAGUCGAUACGCGGAUCUGCGACGUGUUUCCAAGAGCUCGAGUUUUCAAGGCCUGAAUGACUUAGCAAAAUUCUGGGAAAAUUGAUAUAGCAUUAUGGACCGUCUGAGAGCCCAACAUAUGUUUCCUUGGAAUUUUAGAAGUGCCACAUCACCUUUCUUUUGUGCUAAGUUAUUAAGGAGUUCCAGAAGCCUAAAGCAAGAAGGAAAAGUUGCAUCCUAUAAAAGGAGAAUGUGUUAAGAUAAAGAAGUACCAUUCAAUAUCAGAUUUUCAUCAAAGAAAGCUGCUGCCAUCACGUGUUCACCUUCCAUCUCCGUUUAACAAGUUCUUUUAUGUUUUUAAGAUUUUCUAUUAUGUUUUCUUUGAACAUGAGUAGCUAAACUCCUUUUCUAGGGCUAGGAUGAGGCCCUAGCAUGAUUGUUUACAUGUUUUGAUAUUCAAUUGAUGGAUUAUUAGUUUCUUUUCA